AAAGACUACAGUUUUAAGUUUUUAUGUUUAAUGUUUGACCGUCUAUCUUAUUUGAAAAAAAAUUAACGAUUAUUAUUUUUAUUGUUAUUAAAUGAUAAAAUAUGAGUAAUACUUUAUGCAUGAUUAUUUUUUUUAAUUUUUUUAUAAAUUUUUUAAAUAAGAUAGAUAGUCAAACGUUGGAUAUAGAAACCCACAACUACACUUAAA
rfam:Oryza punctata chromosome 9, whole genome shotgun sequence.